rnacentral:rRNA from 1 species
GUCCACGCCCUAAACGAUGUCAACUAGCCGUUGGGUUCAUAAAAGAAUUUAGUGGCGCAGCUAACGCGAUAAGUUGACCGCCUGGGGAGUACGGCCGCAAGGUUAAAACUCAAAGGAAUUGACGGGGGCCCGCACAAGCGGUGGAGCAUGUGGUUUAAUUCGAUGCAACGCGAAGAACCUUACCAGGUCUUGACAUCUAGCGAACUUUCCAGAGAUGGAUUGGUGCCUUCGGGAACGCUAAGACAGGUGCUGCAUGGCUGUCGU